UACGUAGGGGCCUAGCGUUGUCCGGAAUUAUUGGGCGUAAAGGGUGCGUAGGCGGCGCGGUAAGUCGGGUGUGAAAUCUCGGAGCUUAACUCCGAAACUGCAUUCGAUACUGCCGUGCUUGAGGACUGGAGAGGAGACUGGAAUUUACGGUGUAGCGGUGAAAUGCGUAGAUAUCGUAAGGAAGACCAGUGGCGAAGGCGGGUCUCUGGACAGUUCCUGACGCUGAGGCACGAAGGUCAGGGGAGCAAACGGG
rnacentral:rRNA from 1 species